GAUGAACGCUGGCGGCGUGCCUAAUACAUGCAAGUCGAGCGAACAGAUGAGGAGCUUGCUUCUCUGAUGUUAGCGGCGGACGGGUGAGUAACACGUGGGUAACCUACCUAUAAGACUGGGAUAACUCCGGGAAACCGGGGCUAAUAUCGGAUAAUAUUUUGAACCGCAUGGUUACAUAGUGAAAGACGGUUUCGGCUGUCACUUAUAGAUGGACCCGCGCCGUAUUAGCUAGUUGGUAAGGUAACGGCUUACCAAGGCGACGAUACGUAGCCGACCUGAGAGGGUGAUCGGCCACACUGGAACUGAGACACGGUCCAGACUCCUACGGGAGGCAGCAGUAGGGAAUCUUCCGCAAUGGGCGAAAGCCCGACGGAGCAACGCCGCGUGAGUGAUGAAGGUCUUCGGAUCGUAAAACUCUGUUGUUAGGGAAGAACAAAUUUGUUAGUAACUGAACAAGUCUUGACGGUACCUAACCAGAAAGCCACGGCUAACUACGUGCCAGCCGCCGCAGUAA
rnacentral:rRNA from 1 species